UAAGACGUAGGAGGCAAGCGUUAUCCGGAUUUAUUGGGCGUAAAGGGCGUGUAGGCGGCCCGGAAAGUCCUCUGUGAAAUCUCUGCACUCAAUGGGGAGGGGACAGAGGAAACUUCUGGGCUUGAGGGCAGCAGAGGAAGGUGGAAUUCCCGGUGUAGCGGUGAAAUGUGUAGAUAUCGGGAGGAACACCAGUGGCGAAGGCGACCUUCUGGGCUGUUCCUGACGCUGAGGCGCGAAAGCGUGGGGAGCAAACAGGAUUAGAUACCCUGGUAGUCCACGCCGCAACCGUUGGGCACUAGGCAUGGUGGGUAUCGACCCUCUCCGUGCCGAAGCUAAGGCGUUAAGUGUCCCGCCUGGGGAUUACGGCCGCAAGGCUA
rnacentral:rRNA from 1 species